rnacentral:rRNA from 1 species
CGUGGGUGAUCUGCCCUGCACUUCGGGAUAAGCCUGGGAAACUGGGUCUAAUACCGGAUAUACCUCAUUGAUCGCAUGGUUGGUGGGGGAAAGCUUUUGCGGUGUGGGAUGGGCCCGCGGCCUAUCAGCUUGUUGGUGGGGUGAUGGCCUACCAAGGCGUCGACGGGUAGCCGGCCUGAGAGGGUGUCCGGCCACACUGGGACUGAGAUACGGCCCAGACUCCUACGGGAGGCAGCAGUGGGGAAUAUUGCACAAUGGGCGCAAGCCUGAUGCAGCGACGCCGCGUGGGGGAUGACGGCCUUCGGGUUGUAAACCUCUUUCAGUAGGGACGAAGCGCAAGUGACGGUACCUACAGAAGAAGCACCGGCCAACUACGUG